rnacentral:lncRNA from 1 species
GUUCCACCUCGCACUGGGCUCCCUGCAGGUAGUAAUGUUCUCCUAUAUUCUUCUUUCCCUAUAGAACAAUCCUAUCACCGUGCAGCACCUUCAGGAUUCCUUCAUCAGCUACGGUCCUGUAGCCUCUCGAAUCCAGUCUGUUCAGUGAGAUAAGAUUCUACCUGAAAUCGGAUAUAUAUCGGACCUCCCCCAAUCUUCUUACUGCACCAUCAUAUGUCCUCCAGCUGACCAUCCCGAUGCCUC